CUUACCGAGAGCUCUUUGGCAUUCUGUCCACCUCCUUGCGAGUCUCGCGGGAGAUCUCAUGAUCUGUUGUUGAGCUUGCAGAUAGCUUGGAGGUGGGCAUACUGCCAAUGGAGCUGUGUAGG
rnacentral:pre_miRNA from 1 species